UCAUAGAGGAAGUAAAAGUCGUAACAAGGUCUCCGUAGGUGAACCUGCGGAGGGAUCAUUACACAAAUAUGAAGGCGGGCUGGAACCUCUCGGGGUUACAGCCUUGCUGAAUUAUUCACCCUUGUCUUUUGCGUACUUCUUGUUUCCUUGGUGGGUUCGCCCACCACUAGGACAAACAUAAACCUUUUGUAAUUGCAAUCAGCGUCAGUAACAAAUUAAUAAUUACAACUUUCAACAACGGAUCUCUUGGUUCUGGCAUCGAUGAAGAACGCAGCGAAAUGCGAUAAGUAGUGUGAAUUGCAGAAUUCAGUGAAUCAUCGAAUCUUUGAACGCACAUUGCGCCCUUUGGUAUUCCAAAGGGCAUGCCUGUUCGAGCGUCAUUUGUACCCUCAAGCUUUGCUUGGUGUUGGGCGUCUUGUCUCUAGCUUUGCUGGAGACUCGCCUUAAAGUAAUUGGCAGCCGGCCUACUGGUUUCGGAGCGCAGCACAAGUCGCACUCUCUAUCAGCAAAGGUCUAGCAUCCAUUAAGCCUUUUUUCAACUUUUGACCUCGGAUCAGGUAGGGAUACCCGCUGAACUUAAGCAUAUCA
rnacentral:rRNA from 1 species